rnacentral:rRNA from 1 species
UACCCCUAGCAAAUCUCAAAAAACCGAUCUCAGUCCGGAUUGGAGUCUGCAACUCGACUCCAUGAAGUUGGAAUCGCUAGUAAUCGCGGAUCAGCACGCCGCGGUGAAUACGUUCCCGGGCCUUGUACACACCGCCCGUCACACCAUGGGAGUUGUUCUUACCUGAAGUCGUGGCCUCAACCGCAAGGGGGGGAGCGCCUACGGUCAGCGACUGGGGUGAAG